rnacentral:rRNA from 1 species
AAUGGGUCAGCGACUUAUAUUCUGUAGCAAGGUUAACCGAAUAGGGGAGCCGAAGGGAAACCGAGUCUUAACUGGGCGUUAAGUUGCAGGGUAUAGACCCGAAACCCGGUGAUCUAGCCAUGGGCAGGUUGAAGGUUGGGUAACACUAACUGGAGGACCGAACCGACUAAUGUUGAAAAAUUAGCGGAUGACUUGUGGCUGGGGGUGAAAGGCCAAUCAAACCGGGAGAUAGCUGGUUCUCCCCGAAAGCUAUUUAGGUAGCGCCUCGUGAAUUCAUCUCCGGGGGUAGAGCACUGUUUCGGCAAGGGGGUCAUCCCGACUUACCAACCCGAUGCAAACUGCGAAUACCGGAGAAUGUUAUCACGGGAGACACACGGCGGGUGCUAACGUCCGUCGUGAAGAGGGAAACAACCCAGACCGCCAGCUAAGGUCCCAAAGUCAUGGUUAAGUGGGAAACGAUGUGGGAAGGCCCAGACAGCCAGGAUGUUGGCUUAGAAGCAGCCAUCAUUUAAAGAAAGCGUAAUAGCUCACUGGUCGAGUCGGCCUGCGCGGAAGAUGUAACGGGGCUAAACCAUGCACCGAAGCUGCGGCAGCGACACUAUGUGUUGUUGGGUAGGGGAGCGUUCUGUAAGCCUGCGAAGGU